rnacentral:rRNA from 1 species
GUUGGGUAGGGGAGCGUUCUGUAAGCCGUUGAAGGUGACCUGUGAGGGUUGCUGGAGGUAUCAGAAGUGCGAAUGCUGACAUAAGUAACGAUAAUGCGGGUGAAAAACCCGCACGCCGGAAGACCAAGGGUUCCUGUCCAACGUUAAUCGGGGCAGGGUGAGUCGACCCCUAAGGCGAGGCUGAAAAGCGUAGUCGAUGGGAAACAGGUUAAUAUUCCUGUACUUGGUGUUACUGCGAAGGGGGGACGGAGAAGGCUAGGCUAGCCGGGCGACGGUUGUCCCGGUUUAAGCAUGUAGGCGGAGUGACUUGGUAAAUCCGGUUGCUUAUCAACGCUGAGGUGUGAUGACGAGUCACUACGGUGAUGAAGUAGUUGAUGCCAGGCUUCCAGGAAAAGCCUCUAAGCAUCAGGUAACAUUAAAUCGUACCCCAAACCGACACAGGUGGUCAGGUAGAGAAUACUCAGGCGCUUGAGAGAACUCGGGUGAAGGAACUAGGCAAAAUGGUGCCGUAACUUCGGGAGAAGGCACGCUGGCAUUAGGUAAAGGGACUUGCUCCCGGCGCCGAAGCCAGUCGCAGAUACCAGCUGGCUGCAACUGUUUAAUAAAAACACAGCACUGUGCAAACACGAAAGUGGACGUAUACGGUGUGACGCCUGCCCGGUGCUGGAAGGUUAAUUGAUGGGGUCAGCCUUACGGCGAAGCUCUUGAUCGAAGCCCCAGUAAACGGCGGCCGUAACUAUAACGGUCCUAAGGUAGCGAAAUUCCUUGUCGGGUAAGUUCCGACCUGCACGAAUGGCGUAAUGAUGGCCAGGCUGUCUCCACCCGAGACUCAGUGAAAUUGAACUCGCUGUGAAGAUGCAGUGUACCCGCGGCAAGACGGAAAGACCCCGUGAACCUUUACUAUAGCUUGACACUGAACAUUGAGCCUUGAUGUGUAGGAUAGGUGGGAGGCAUCGAAGUGUGGACGCCAGUCUGCAUGGAGCCAACCUUGAAAUACCACCCUUUAAUGUUUGAUGUUCUAACUCGGCCCCGUGAUCCGGGGUGAGGACAGUGUCUGGUGGGUAGUUUGACUGGGGCGGUCUCCUCCCAAAGAGUAACGGAGGAGCACGAAGGUUAGCUAAUCACGGUCGGACAUCGUGAGGUUAGUGCAAAGGCAUAAGCUAGCUUGACUGCGAGAGUGACGGCUCGAGCAGGUACGAAAGUAGGUCUUAGUGAUCCGGUGGUUCUGAAUGGAAGGGCCAUCGCUCAACGGAUAAAAGGUACUCCGGGGAUAACAGGCUGAUACCGCCCAAGAGUUCAUAUCGACGGCGGUGUUUGGCACCUCGAUGUCGGCUCAUCACAUCCUGGGGCUGAAGUAGGUCCCAAGGGUAUGGCUGUUCGCCAUUUAAAGUGGUACGCGAGCUGGGUUUAGAACGUCGUGAGACAGUUCGGUCCCUAUCUGCCGUGGGCGUUGGAAGAUUGAGAGGGGCUGCUCCUAGUACGAGAGGACCGGAGUGGACGAAUCACUGGUGUUCGGGUUGUCAUGCCAAUGGCAUUGCCCGGUAGCUAAAUUCGGAAGAGAUAACCGCUGAAAGCAUCUAAGCGGGAAACUUGCCUCGAGAUGAGUCUUCCCUGGGGCUUUAAGCCCCCUGAAGGAACGUUAAAGACUAUGACGUUGAUAGGCUGGGUGUGUAAGUGCAGCGAUGCAUUGAGCUAACCAGUACUAAUGAUCCGUGAGGCUUAACCUU